UAGGAAUUCUAUCCGUGUUAAAAAGGCUGUGUGAGCGAACUAUCUAUCUGUGUUCAGCAAAAUAAAAGGAUUAACUGUACAAAAGAUUCAUACGCACACAUGAUUCCACCUGAGCUCAGCAGAGGCCCAUGACAGGACAGUGCAGAGGCACAGCUGACGGGGCUCUUUGCUUGUUCCUGACGCUCUUUCCCGAAGGGGCCCUGUACAUGGAGUCAUUCAGUGGCCGGGGCCAUAAAUGAGGGCCGCGCCAGCGCUCAGCACUGCUUAUUCUAAAAGGACGCAAGGACCUUGGAGCGCAGCCAAAAUGCCUGGAACAAAAGGUAACAAGACGGAUAAGAAAUCCACCACCAAGCAACCUCAGAGUCCUAAGGAGCAGCCGAAGAAAGCUGAUCAGAAAGGAGAUGACGCCAAAAAGCAAGGAGGACAGCCGAAGGGAGAGAAGCAAUAAUUUCCAGGCCUUCGUGAAGCUGGCUCUGGAGACUCUCCUGGGCUCUUGUCGACGCAAGCAUGAGGGCCCCCGCGGUAGGCAGGGCUGAGAUUUGCUCCUCCCACCAUCCAGCCAAUCAACAGCAUCCAUCUGACUAUCGCUAGACAGAGCUUGGCCUAAGCCUCCAUCAUCUGUCCCUUCUGUACCUUCUCACACGGGUCUCAGGUCUGAAUAACGCCGCUGAUUUGCUCAUUGGAAGUCGGGCUAAUAUCCCACGAUACCAGAGACUCUGUGACCCCGCCCUCAUCUGCUCACAUUUGACUCCGCCCGUGUCAUAGUUCUCAACUGUGCUGUACAUAAAUGAAAAUAAACAUAAUUUCAUACACUUGCCAUAA